GCCAUCUGUCCAAGUAUCUGACGAGAAUGCUUGUGGUUCCUGUUUAGCCAGUAUACACCUGCAGUGUCCGUGUACUUUGCCCAAAGUAUACGCAUUUGCAGCAUGCCUCCACAGGCAUGCUGCAAAGUUUACUGCUCCUGCCGUUGUCUGUAAAUUCUAUCUUCUUCACUUCCUGUUUUUCCCUGGUGUACAAGGCAAGUGCUGGCUCCUGUCCCGCCUUCUCCGCCCACCGUUGAGUCUUGGUCUCGGCGACUCUGGUGCGGAUGUUUUUCAUUUGUUUUUCUGGAGCCGAGUAGAGGAGAGGGCUGCUUAUGCGAUACCUGAGGGCCAGCUGGCAUGUCCGUCGCACCUACCUAGUCGAGAGGCAUUUGAGGUGGAUGUAUUGGAAGACUUGUUUUACCCACUGCCCUUCCUGCAUUUGGCAGAGGAUUGACAGAUUGAGAGCUCUUUCUUGAUUCGGUGGAUGGUGGUGCAUGGCCGUUCUUAGUUGGUGGAGCGAUUUGUCUGGUUAAUUCCAAUAACGAACGAGACUCUAGCCUAUUAAAUAGGUGCGUGGUUCUCUGCACCUUGCACCCUUCUUAGAGGGACAAGCGGCUCCUAGCCGCACGAAACAGAGCAAUAUCAGGUCUGUGAUGCCCUUAGAUGUCCGGGGCCGCACGUGCGCAACACUGAAGGAAGCAGCGUGUUUUUAUCCUGUCUGUAAGACUGGGUAACCGUGGAACCUCCUUCGUGAUUGGGAUAGGGGCUUGCAAUUGUUCCCCUUGAACGAGGAAUUCCCAGUAAGUGCGAGUCAUAAGCUCGCGUUGAUUACGUCCCUGCCCUUUGUACACACCGCCCAUCGCUACUACCGAUUGAAUGA
rnacentral:ncRNA from 1 species